rnacentral:rRNA from 1 species
CCUACGGGAGGCUGCAGUGAGGAAUAUUGGUCAAUGGACGCGAGUCUGAACCAGCCAAGUCGCGUGAGGGAUGACUGCCCUAUGGAUUGUAAACUUCUUUUAUAGGGGACUAAAACGAGCCACGUGUGCCUUUUUGCAUGUACUUUAUGAAUAAGGAUCGGCUAACUCCGUGCCAGCAGCCCCGGUAAUACGGAGGAUCCGAGCUUUUUCUGGAUUUAUUGGGUUUAAAGGGUGCGGAGCGGGGAAGUUAAGUUAGUUGUGAAAGUUUUCGGUGCAACCGUAAAAGUGCAAUUGAUACUGGCAGUCUUGAGUACAUGUGAGGUAUGCGGAAGGCGUGGUGUAGCGGUGAAAUGCAUAGAUAUCACGAAGAACCCCGAUUGCGAAGGCAGCGUACGAAA